AUUGAACGCUGGCGGCAGGCUUAACACAUGCAAGUCGAACGAGUGGCGGACGGGUGAGUAAUGCAUGGGCAUCUAGCUGAUGGAGGGGGUUAACUACGGGGAACUGUUGCUAAUACCGCGUACAAUAGGAUGAGUCCAAGUCGGAUGAGGUAGUUGGUGAGGUAAAGGCUUACCAAGACGACGAUCUCUACCUGGUCUGAGAGGAUGAGCAGUCACACUGGGACGGAGACACGGCCCAGACUCCUACGGGAGGCAGCAGUGGGGAAUAUUGGACAAUGGGCGAAACCCUGAUCCAGCCAUGCCGCGUGAGUGAAGAAGGCCUUCGGGGUGUAAAGUACUUUCAGCGGGGAGGCGUUACCAUCAGAAGAAGCACCGGCUAACUCCGUGCCAGCAGCCGCGGUAAUAC
rnacentral:rRNA from 1 species